rnacentral:rRNA from 1 species
UACGGAGGGGGCAAGCGUUGUUCGGAAUUACUGGGCGUAAAGGGCGCGUAGGCGGUUCGUUAAGUCCUGUGUGAAAGCCCCCGGCUCAACUGGGGAGGGUCAUUCGAUACUGAUCGACUCGAAGGCAGGAGAGGGUAGUGGAAUUCCCGGUGUAGUGGUGAAAUGCGUAGAUAUCGGGAGGAACACCAGUGGCGAAGGCGACUACCUGGCCUGUUCUUGACGCUGAGGCGCGAAAGCUAGGGGAGCAAACGGG